rnacentral:miRNA from 1 species
AAGUAAUGAUUUCUCUCUCUCUCUCUCUCUCUCUCUCUCUCUCUCUCUCUCUCUCUCUCUCUCUCUCUCCUCCCAAUGCCCCCAAGGAGAUGAUUUUAAUAAAGAAAGACAUUUCUGCCUGCUGGGAUGGUACACUGUGGAAGUUGAGCAGCUAUAAGUAGGGGAGAGAGAGAGAGAGAGAGAGAGAGAGAGAGAGAGAGAGAGUUUUCAA